UAUGUGAUCGUCUCUCGCAUAUCAAUAAGCGGAGGAAAAGAAACUAACAAGGAUUCCCCUAGUAACGGCGAGUGAAGCGGGAAGAGCUCAAAUUUGAAAUCUUAAAGGGUUUCCCUUUACGAAUUGUAGUUUAAAGAAGUGUUUUCUGUUGAGGUUUUGGUAAAAGUUCUUUGGAAUAGGACAUCAUAGAGGGUGAGAAUCCCGUAUUUGACCUUUACUUUCAACUUUGUGAUACACUUUCAAAGAGUCGGAUUGUUUGGGAAUGCAGUCCAAAAUGGGUGGUAAAUUUCAUCUAAAGCUAAAUAUUGGCGAGAGAUCGAUAGCGAACAAGUACCGUGAGGGAAAGAUGAAAAGAACUUUGAAAAGAGAGUUAAACAGUACGUGAAAUUGUCAAAAGGGAAGCGUUUGACACCAGUGUUGUUUUUCUGAAAAUCAAUUAAAGAACUGUUUAUGCUAAGUUGUUUAGACUUUAUCAGCUAUCUGUUUAGUUUUGAGCUUUUCUUUAAUGCACUUUUCAGUUAACAAGUCAACAUCAAUUUCUUUUGCUGUAAAAAAGCUUGAGGAAGGUGGCUUGAGAUUCGUCUUAAGUGUUUAUAGCCUCUUGCCUAUGCAGUCGGAGAGAUUGAGGUCUGCAGCGUAGAUCCUUCGGGGCUAAAUGCAUUUGUGCUAAGUUAUAGCAUUUUAUAGACAACUUGUUGACUAUGAUUUGUCUUGUAGCUUACUCGCUUAUGUUAUUUUACCUACGCUUAGGAUGUUGAUCUACAGAGCGAGAGU
rnacentral:rRNA from 1 species